ACCUUACCAGGUUNGAAAAAANUUGNGUAAUUCCUAAGGAAGAUAGGGAAUUCCUUNGGGGAANAGGGGAAANCAGGNGGNGCANGGGUUGUUUGUCAAGNUCGUGUUNGNGGAGAUGUUGGGUAAGUUCCCGCAACGGAGCGCAAACCCCUAUUGUUAGUUGCCAUCAUUAAGUUGGGGCAAUUCUAGGGAGACUGCCGGUAAUAAACCGGAGGAAGGUGGGGAUGACGUCAAAUCAUCAUGCCCCUUAUGACCUGGGCUAACAACACGUGCUACAAUGGUUGGUACAACGAGUCGCAAGGCAGUGAUGUCAAGCUAAUCUCUUAAAGCCAAUCUCAGUUCGGAUUGUAGGCUGCAACUCGCCUACAUGAAGUCGGAAUCGCUAGUAAUCGCGGAUCAGCACGCCGCGGUGAAUACGUUCCCGGGCCUUGUACACACCGCCCGUCACACCACGAGAGUUUGUAAUACCCAAAGCCGGUGAGCUAACCUUUUAGGAGGCAGCCGUCUAAGGUAGGAUAGAUGAUUGGGGUGAAGUCGUAACAAGGUAGCCGUAUCGGAAGGUGCGGCUGGAUCACCUCCUUAAGCUUGGAUCCCGGGAUNGGAUCCCNGGGUACCGAGCUAGAAGGCAANGGCGNUAANNACCCCAACC
rnacentral:rRNA from 1 species